rnacentral:tRNA from 7 species
GGGGGAUUAGCUCAGUUGGCUAGAGCGCCUGAUUUGCAUUCAGGAGGUCAAGGGUUCGACUCCCUUAUUCUCCA